rnacentral:rRNA from 1 species
GUGGGGAAUAUUGGACAAUGGGCGAAAGCCUGAUCCAGCAAUGCCGCGUGAGUGAUGAAGGCCUUAGGGUUGUAAAGCUCUUUUACCAGGGAUGAUAAUGACAGUACCUGGAGAAUAAGCUCCGGCUAACUCCGUGCCAGCAGCCGCGGUAAUACGGAGGGAGCUAGCGUUGUUCGGAAUUACUGGGCGUAAAGCGCACGUAGGCGGUUACUCAAGUCAGAGGUGAAAGCCCGGGGCUCAACCCCGGAACUGCCUUUGAAACUAGGUAACUAGAAUCUUGGAGAGGUCAGUGGAAUUCCUAGUGUAGAGGUGAAAUUCGUAGAUAUUCGGAAGAACACCAGUGGCGAAGGCGACUGACUGGACAAGUAUUGACGCUGAGGUGCGAAAGCGUGGGGAGCAAACAGGAUUAGAUACCCUAGUAGUCC